rnacentral:lncRNA from 1 species
CAGGGGCUCAAACUUAACCAAGUCUUAUCAGGUACGCGGAUUUCUGACAUUCAGCUGAAAUACAUACAAUUAUAAUUGAUUAAUAACCAAUUAUUGAAAAACUAACUAACAAUCACACUUAUACAAAAUCUGAUUGUUACUUUUUUUUAAUUAUUAAUUAAUUAAAUAAUUAUUUAAAUAUAAUUAAAUAAUUAUUUAUUUAAUUAUUAAUUAAAUAAAUGAUUUUAAUUUUUAAAUAAUUGUUUUCAACAUUGGAUUUUAAAUCAAGUUCUUAAUAUAAAAACUGAUUUAUGGAUUUUCCAAUAUUUUUUUAAUUAAUUAUUAAUUAUUAGUUAAUUAAAUAAAUAAUUAAUUAAUAAUUAAUAAUUGAUUAAUCAACAAUUAUUGAAAAACUAACUAACAAUCACACUUACAAAAUCUGAUUGUUACUUUUUUUUAAUUAUUAAUUAAUUAAAUAAUUAUUUAAAUUUAUUUAAAUAAUUAUUUAUUUAAUUAUUAAUUAAAUAAAUGAUUUUAAUUUAAUUAAUUAAUUAUUUAAUUAUUAAUUAAAAAAAUUACAAUCCUAACCCUAACCCUAACAUUGCAUUUCUAAACAUUACAAUCCUAACCCUAACCCUAACAUGGCAUUUCUAAACAUUACAAUCCUAACCCUAACCCUAACAUGGCAUUUUAAUUUUUAAACAAUUAAUUAAAAAAUGUGAUUUUAAUUUUUAGAUAAUUUAAUUAAUAAAUAAUUACUAAACAUUUAUUAAAAACUAAUUAAAAAUCACAUUUAUAGAAAAUAAUUACUAAAUAUUUAUUUAAAUAAUUAUUUCAUUUAUUUAAAUUUAAAUUUCAUUUUAACUCAUGAAUUCUUUUUAAAUCAUGCAUUUCAAUUCAUUUCAUGACAUUUCAUUUCAUAGCAUUCAUUUCGAAAAAUUUGCAUUCAUUUUAAUUUCACACAAUUUUAGAACGUGCAUUUCAUUUUCCUAUUACUUAACAUGCAAAUUAGAUUAAUUAAUUGCUAACUAACAUGCAAAUUAGAUUAACUAAUUAUUUUAAAUAAUUUCAAAUGAAUAAAAAUUAUUACAUUGAUCUGCCAAACCGCAAAUAAAUAAUCUCAAAUUCCUAUAAUCCGCAAAUACCUACAACAAAAUACCAACACAUAACAUAUCACAAACUAUAUCGAUCAACACAUACACAAUAUCAAAAGACAUUAAAUUUGUAAAUCACAAACCUUCAAAACUAACACCGGCCGGGAGAUGUCCGGCGUAGAAAACAGUUCGGCGGGGAUCGGAGAUCGGGAGAUGUCCGGCUUCAACCUAAAAUAAAUUUAACAUAUAAAUUAAAUUUCACUAAAUUAACACUAAAUAAACAACAAUGAACACUACAAACAGUACAUAUAUCAUACUAAAACACUAAAUAAAUUUAAAUCACAACUAAAGUUAUAUAGUUCAAAUCACAACUAAAUUAAAUUCAUAGUGUGAUAUGGUCAUAACAAGCAAGGUAUAUAUAUAUAGAGUCUUAUACAUAAUCAUAUAAAAAUAGAUACCACGGAAACAAAUAGUUGAGUCAACAGAUUUUUUUAUCUUUUUCCAUACAAAGGGUAUAAUACUAUUAUAUCAUAACACUAUUAUAUAUCACAACAGUAAAAUAAUA